CAGAAAAGCACGGGUGCCGGGCCGGGCACGGAGGACCAGCCCGCCAGGGGCUCACAUGUUCUCAGACUCAAGACUCAAGUAAGUUCUUAUUUGAUUUCUCUUAUUCUUUAUCAGCAGAGUUAUUAAGGGCUAUUUUCCUACUGAAAUGUGCUUUAUAGACACAAUUUGGUGGUCAGAUUAGAUAGGAAACAGGAUAUCCAAAUUUCUGCAAACUCAUGUUGACCAGGUAAUUCAAUCAUGGAUUGGAAAAGAGCCACAGACUUCACUGUAGUUGCCAGUCAGGCAUCAUCCCUCAUCGUAGUUCGGCAAGUGAGAAACUUUACCAGGCGUUCCGUGACCGGCGUGUAGCCCGGGAAGAUCCACCACACCACCUUCUCCAGUUGGCCAGGUGCCAUGGGGGUUGCAGGCUUUCUAAGACUUUGUUCGGCGUUAGGCUGUCUCCCAGUACAGCACGCGCAAGUGUUGCGUUCUUUGCUCUAGAUACUGUAUGGAGUUCAAGACAGAGUCACUGACUCAUCACUGCGCUACGGAGAACCGCCCCCUGACCCGAUGGAUGCAGUAUCUCCGAGAGGGGUACACAGUGUGCGUCGAUUGCCAGCCCCCAGCUAUGAACUCGGAGAGCCUUCGCUGUUCCGGAGAUGGCCUGGACUCGGAUGGAAAUCAAACUCUCCACUGGCAAGCAAUUGGCAAUCCUCGAUGUCAAGGAACUUGGAAAAAAGUUCGGCGAGUAGAUCAGUGUUCUUGUCCAGCUGUUCACAGUUUUAUUUUUAUAUAGAUUGUGAUGUAAAUAUUUCAGAAUGUGUUUGUAAACAUGCUAAACAUUACCAAGUCAUGUUCAGUGCUUCAUAAACCUUCAAAAACCAUUUGGCCAGAGUCCCUGAACACAUCAUUGCCACACUCCAAAGUAGAGAAGGAAAAUGCACGGGCCAGUUCUCAAGAUACCCAGUACCUUUGUUUUUAUUUUUACUGCGUUGAGGACCCACCCUAAAGAUUCCUGUGGUUUUGUGUCCUUGGCCUUCUACAGAGUCCUCUCGUUCAAAGGUGGCCCACACAACACAGAAUACAUGUCUGUUUGCACUAAAAUUACUACAAUAUGGUCCGUUUAUUGGUGAGUAGUUGGCAUUUAAGGGUAUCCAUGCUUUGAAUCUUGCAUUCCCUCUUUCUGUUCUGUAAUCUCUUAAAAACUUCUCGCUUUAAAACAUGUAUAGAGAUCUAUGUAUACUCUCACACAUACAUUUCCCAUGUAUUAUUCCAUAAAUUUUGAAAUAAUAAUUUAAAGAAAAUAGUCACAAAUAAUCUUCCACAGGACAAGUUAAGAUUUAGUAAGCGUUUUGUAAUGAAAACCCAACAGCUAUAUUAAAAAUACUUUUUUGAAGAAGAAAUUUUCUUUGGUUAAUUGACAAGACCAAUCAAAUGUUCAUUCUAGGUCAAUACAAGUUCCUUAAAUGCCAUAAUUUUCAUGAAGAGAAUUUUGGCACCAAUGAAUGAAACAAUGCUUUAAUUACGAAAAUUUUAUCAACAUUAGCAUUUAAGAUUACUUCUAGGGCUUAAAACUUGAAGCUGACUAAAAUCAUCUUUCAGAUUUAAGUUUAAACUAGCUUCCGGUUUAAUUGAAGUAAACUUACUACUUUUUGUCUACAGCCUACAUUUUCUUCUGUUUGGGGUGGAAGGCAGUUAUAAAUUACGGAAGACAUAGAUUUUAUUAUAAAUGCGAUGACCUCUCUCACACACACAGAAGUAUUAGUCUUCUUUUAUGAUUGGAGAACCAGUGAGCUAGAAACAAAGUGGCUUAAGGGUGGGUUAUUCUGCAGGUCAGCCACAGAGACCGCUCUCAGUUUCUCAUCCCGGACUCAGCAUUGAUGAAAAGCCUGACUAUGCCAAAGACAGCUGGGAAAGCUAAGCCCUUUUCAAUUCUGAAACAAAUUUUAAAUUUAGGAUAUUUUCUCUGAAGAACUGCAUCUUAAAAUUUAAACUUCUUCGGUUUCAUUUGUAUACAAUAUUAUUCACUAACAAAUGAUUUACUAAAAUACAUAUUUCUUGGUACUUAUCAUGUAAUGACGAGAAUGACAAUAGCAAACUUAAUAGGGCUGGAAAAGUCCCUAAUAUUUAAUGCGGAGAGUAGCAGUAUUUCUGACUAUAAAUUCAUUUAACUGUCAGAGUUGUUUUUAUGGUAAAUUCUUCAGAGAUGAAUAAUAAAAAUUUUGAGUCUCAUCA
rnacentral:lncRNA from 1 species